rnacentral:rRNA from 1 species
AACUCUGAGCGGUGGAUCACUCGGCUCGUGCGUCGAUGAAGAGCGCAGCCAACUGCGUGAAUUAGUGUGAAUUGCAGGAUAUCUUGAACAUCGACAUCU